CAAUAGCGUAUAUUUAAGUUGUUGCAGUUAAAAAGCUCGUAGUUGGAUUUUGGUUAAGAGGGCGCGGUCGGCCGUUUGGUCUGUACUGCGUUGUCUUGACUUCCUGAUGAGGACAUGCUCUUGGUUAACGCUGAGACAUGGAGUCAUCGUGGUUACUUUGAAAAAAUUAGAGUGUUCAAAGCGGGCUUACGCUUGAAUAUAUUAGCAUGGAAUAACACUAUAGGACUCCUGUCCUAUCUCGUUGGUCUCGGGAUGGGAGUAAUGAUUAAGAGGAACAGUUGGGGGCAUUCGUAUUUCAUUGUCAGAGGUGAAAUUCUUGGAUUUAUGAAAGACGAACUUCUGCGAAAGCAUUUGCCAAGGAUGUUUUCAUUAAUCAAGAACGAAAGUUGGGGGCUCGAAGACGAUUAGAUACCAU
rnacentral:rRNA from 1 species